rnacentral:rRNA from 1 species
UACGUAGGGCGCAAGCGUUGUCCGGAAUUAUUGGGCGUAAAGAGCUCGUAGGCGGCUUGUCACGUCGGGUGUGAAAGCCCGGGGCUUAACCCCGGGUCUGCAUUCGAUACGGGCUAGCUAGAGUGUGGUAGGGGAGAUCGGAAUUCCUGGUGUAGCGGUGAAAUGCGCAGAUAUCAGGAGGAACACCGGUGGCGAAGGCGGAUCUCUGGGCCACUACUGACGCUGAGAAGCGAAAGCAUGGGGAGCGAACAGG